rnacentral:rRNA from 1 species
UAGCUAGUUGGUGAGGUAACGGCUUACCAAGGCGACGAUCUGUAGCGGGUCUGAGAGGAUGAUCCGCCACACUGGAACUGAGACACGGUCCAGACUCCUACGGGAGGCAGCAGUGGGGAAUUUUGGACAAUGGGGGCAACCCUGAUCCAGCCAUGCCGCGUGAGUGAAGAAGGCCUUCGGGUUGUAAAGCUCUUUCGGCCGGGAAGAAAUCGCAUGGGCCAAUACCCUGUGUGGAUGACGGUACCGGAAUAAGAAGCACCGGCUAACUACGUGCCAGCAGCCGCGGUAAUACGUAGGGUGCGAGCGUUAAUCGGAAUUACUGGGCGUAAAGCGUGCGCAGGCGGUUUUGUAAGACAGGCGUGAAAUCCCCGGGCUCAACCUGGGAACUGCGUUUGUGACUGCAAGGCUAGAGUACGGCAGAGGGGGGUGGAAUUCCACGUGUAGCAGUAAAAUGCGUAGAGAUGUGGAGGAACACCAAUGGCGAAGGCAGCCCCCUGGGUCGAUACUGACGCUCAUGCACGAAAGCGUGGGUAGCAAACAGGAUUAGAUACCCUGGUAGUCCACCCCCUAAACUAAGUCAACUAGGUGUUGGGUGGGUAAAACCAUUUAGUACCGUAGCUAACGCGUGAAGUUGACCGCCUGGGGAGUACGGCCGCAAGGUUAAAACUCAAAGGAAUUGACGGGGACCCGCACAAGCGGUGGAUGAUGUGGAUUAAUUCGAUGCAACGCGAAAAACCUUACCUACCCUUGACAUGCCAGGAACUUGCCAGAGAUGGCUUGGUGCCCGAAAGGGAGCCUGGACACAGGUGCUGCAUGGCUGUCGUCAGCUCGUGUCGUGAGAUGUUGGGUUAAGUCCCGCAACGAGCGCAACCCUUGUCGUUAAUUGCCAUCAUUUAGUUGGGCACUUUAGCGAGACUGCCGGUGACAAACCGGAGGAAGGUGGGGAUGACGUCAAGUCCUCAUGGCCCUUAUGGGUAGGGCUUCACACGUCAUACAAUGGUCGGUACAGAGGGUCGCCAAGCCGCGAGGUGGAGCCAGUCCCAGAAAGCCGAUCGUAGUCCGGAUUGCAGGCUGCAACUCGCCUGCAUGAAGUCGGAAUCGCUAGUAAUCGUGGAUCAGCAUGUCACGGUGAAUACGUUCCCGGGUCUUGUACACACCGCCCGUCACACCAUGGGAGCGGGUUCCGCCAGAAGUAGGUAGCCUAACCGCAAGGAGGGCGCUUACCACGGCGGGGUUCGUGACUGGGGUGAAGUCGGAACAAGGUAGCCGUAGGGGAACCUGCGGCUG